CAUAUAUUAUAUUAUAUAAGCUAAAGUUAUGAAAUAUUAAUAGCUAUAAUUUUUGUCUACCCAGAAUGAUUUUGAGAGUGAUACUGACGAAUCAAGUAAAUCAUCUAAUGAAUUGCCAAGCGAUGAUGACCUCUCACCAAGUUCAGAGGAUAUUGAAAUCACAAAGAUGGCGAAUUAUACCAAGCCAACCAAUGCUGUUCCUGGAAAGUCCUGUCUUGCUCUUGUACCUUCCAGUGGUCGAAACAACGAGAACAAAAAGGCAGUCAGUUUCAGGGAGGCUCUAGAAGACGUUCGUUACUAUAAAAUAGACGAUUGCCCUUCUAAAGCAGGGAAAGGUUAUUUCAUGAGUCCUUUCCAUUUGCAAGAACUGUAACAAAGAAAACAUAGACGAGGAUUUGGAAUGCAGUUUAAAUUUAUG